GCGCCGGUGCUUCAGUGGUAGAAUACUCGCCUGCCACGCGGGUGACCCGGGUUCAAUUCCCGGCCGACGCA
rnacentral:tRNA from 1 species